rnacentral:lncRNA from 1 species
UUUACACCCUUUACAUUUUGGUCCUUCUAGGCAUGACAAGACCGCUCCCAAUCUGCGUUCUUGCGUGCACCGCCUUCCACGCCUGACACACCCAAUCGGCGGUCACGGCGUGCUCCCCCUCCUCCGCUGCCACCUAAAAAUAAAGAAGAAUAUGACAAAUCGGUAAGAUUAAAAAGAAAAAAUUGAAGAGAAAAGUUGGGGGUCGGCAGCCAAGAAAAAAAGCAAAAAAUUCAAGCAGAAAAAACUCUCAAAUCAUCCGAUCCUACACUCACCGCCACUGCACCCACAGCCACCGGAACUACCGCACCACCACCUAAAAUCCAAUCGCAAAGCAACCAAGCAAAAAAUAAAAAAAAUCAAAAAUCAACAGCCAAUAACCAUUUAUUUUCUAAAAGACUAAACGUUUACCUUUGAAUCGUCGGCCACCGAGCGCGAAGAGGAGACGACGACAAGCUCGAGGGCGGUGCCUCCAACUUUGGGAUUGCCGAAAUAGAAGAGAAAGAGAAAGAAAAAGAAAAAGGGAAAACAAAAAAAAGGAAAGCUUUUCGGGAAAAAGAGAAGAGAGAAAGGAGAAGGGAAAGGGGAGAGAAGAGAGAAGGGAGAGUCCGGCCACCGUCGGCAAUGGAGGAAACAGC